CUGGCGGCCAUGGCGGAGGAGACACACCCGUUCCCUUCCCGAACACGGAAGUUAAGCCCUCCCGCGCCGAUGAUACUGCCUACGCGGGAAAGCAGGCCGCCGCCAGAC
rnacentral:rRNA from 1 species